rnacentral:rRNA from 1 species
UACGAAGGGGGCUAGCGUUGUUCGGAUUUACUGGGCGUAAAGCGCACGUAGGCGGCUUGUUAAGUGAGGGGUGAAAUCCUGGGGCUCAACUCCAGAACUGCCUUUCAUACUGGCAAGCUAGAGUCCGGAAGAGGUGAGUGGAACUCCUAGUGUAGAGGUGGAAUUCGUAGAUAUUAGGAAGAACACCAGUGGCGAAGGCGGCUCACUGGUCCGGUACUGACGCUGAGGUGCGAAAGCGUGGGGAGCAAACAGG